CCCGACCCGGCAGCGACAUCUCCCGGCAGCCUAACGACGCCGCACGUCCGGAGUGUGAGGGCUCUGGCUGGCACACCACUCGGAGAGUUUGAAGGAGUAAUACAGGACACCGCAGGAGGAGUCUACAAAACAGCUCACCCCCGUUCAAAGCAAAUGUUGCAGAGACUAUUGUCGUGUAUUCCACAUGUGUGAUAUUGGCCUUAUCAGAUUUAUAUGAGCUAUUUAUUGUGACGCUGCCAUUGAAUGAUGCUCCAAGCACCGUAUUAGGUAUAUCUGUAUAAGGAAAUACUACAUAAUUCAUGUACGUUAUCCUUGUCACUGAAUUCAUACUUUAUCUCCUUUCCUAAGUGCUGUUUAUUUACAUUUACUUCUAUCUUAAUUCAUUAUGUUAUGACAGGCUGAUGAAAAGUAGUUAAAUAUUUCUGAGGCAGAGAAUAAAGCUAAUUUAAUGUUGCUGUUGUUAAACGUGCAAAAGUAUCUAUCAUGGUGCUGUAGGCACGUGUCCUUAUAUGUAAGUAAUCUGGCACUCUGUGUAUGUGUCCCUAUUUGUUUAUAAACAAAUAAACCCCCAAUUUUGCAUUCAAUAA